GCCGGGGUGAUGAAAUUUGGAAAACAUGUGGCACUCAAAAUGCCAUGGGCGCAAGCCCUUGAGGGUUCAAGUCCCUCCCUCGGCA
rnacentral:tRNA from 1 species